AACGAACGCUGGCGGCAUGCCUAAUACAUGCAAGUCGAACGAGAUCUUCGGAUCUAGUGGCGCACGGGUGCGUAACGCGUGGGAAUCUGCCCUUGGGUUCGGAAUAACUUCGGGAAACUGAAGCUAAUACCGGAUGAUGACGUAAGUCCAAAGAUUUAUCGCCCAAGGAUGAGCCCGCGUAGGAUUAGCUAGUUGGUGGGGUAAAGGCCUACCAAGGCGACGAUCCUUAGCUGGUCUGAGAGGAUGAUCAGCCACACUGGGACUGAGACACGGCCCAGACUCCUACGGGAGGCAGCAGUAGGGAAUAUUGGACAAGGGGCGAAAGCCUGAUCCAGCAAUGCCGCGUGAGUGAUGAAGGCCUUAGGGUUGUAAAGCUCUUUUACCCGGGAUGAUAAUGACAGUACCGGGAGAAUAAGCUCCGGCUAACUCCGUGCCAGCAGCCGCCGCAG
rnacentral:rRNA from 1 species